ACAUUGUGUUAUGCCUUAGUACGGCGAGUGAAGCGGCAAAAGCUCAAAUUUGAAAUCUGGUACCUUCGGUGCCCGAGUUGUAAUUUGUAGAAGGUAACUUUGGGGCUGGUCCUUGUCUAUGUUCCUUGGAACAGGACGUCAUAGAGGGUGAGAAUCCCGUGUGGCGAGGAUCCCAGUUCUUUGUAAAGUGCUUUCGAAGAGUCGAGUUGUUUGGGAAUGCAGCUCUAAGUGGGUGGUAAAUUCCAUCUAAAGCUAAAUAUUGGCGAGAGACCGAUAGCGAACAAGUACAGUGAUGGAAAGAUGAAAAGAACUUUGAAAAGAGAGUGAAAAAGUACGUGAAAUUGUUGAAAGGGAAGGGCAUUUGAUCAGACAUGGUGUUUUGCGCCCUCUGCUCCUUGUGGGUGGGGGAAUCUCGCAGCUCACUGGGCCAGCAUCAGUUUUGGCGGCAGGAUAAAUCUGCAGGAAUGUAGCUUGCCUCGGUAAGUGUUAUAUCCUGUAGAAAUACUGCCAGCUGGGACUGAGGACUGCGACUUUACGUCAAGGAUGCUGGCAUAAUGGUUAUAUGCCGCCCGUCUUGAACCACGGACC
rnacentral:rRNA from 1 species